AUUGAACGCUGGCGGAAUGCUUUACACAUGCAAGUCGAACGGCAGCACGGACUUCGGUCUGGUGGCGAGUGGCGAACGGGUGAGUAAUAUAUCGGAACGUGCCCAGUCGUGGGGGAUAACGUAGCGAAAGCUACGCUAAUACCGCAUACGAUCUACGGAUGAAAGCGGGGGAUCGCAAGACCUCGCGCGAUUGGAGCGGCCGAUAUCAGAUUAGGUAGUUGGUGAGGUAAAGGCUCACCAAGCCGACGAUCUGUAGCUGGUCUGAGAGGACGACCAGCCACACGGGGACUGAGACACGGCCCAGACUCCUACGGGAGGCAGCAGUGGGGAAUUUUGGACAAUGGACGCAAGUCUGAUCCAGCCAUUCCGCGUGCAGGACGAAGGCCUUCGGGUUGUAAACUGCUUUUGUACAGAACGAAAAGGUCUCUAUUAAUACUAGGGGCUCAUGACGGUACUGUAAGAAUAAGCACCGGCUAACUACGUGCCAGCAGCCGCCGCGG
rnacentral:rRNA from 1 species